rnacentral:lncRNA from 1 species
GAUUAAUCAAUGAUUUUGAGGGUGUUAAAAUUGAUCAUAAAUGGACGGUCGACGGACAAAAUUAUUUACACUGGUUUUUUGCCAAAAUAUUCAUCUGCUGUUGCAUUGAUCCAGGUGAUGAAAAAGAUAGAUGACCUACCUAUAUAACUUUUUGUGUCUUAAUUGGAUUGAAAUUAAAUUUUUAAAUGUGUAUUUACGUGUGAUAUACGUGGCCAAACUAUAUUGCAAUAUAAUUUUAAUCGAACUAUUUGCAUUUAAAAGCUGAACAAUGAAUCGGAAAAGCGACUUUAGUGAGAUUAAGCUUCCAAAGAUGUUUGGUAAGUUCAGAUUUUUUUGUGUUACCUACAUCUAAGGAGUUGUAGUAAAUCUUCUCUUUUUAGGACAUAAUGCAAACAUUUGUAAAAUUUGAUCUUAUUUUUUUUCAAAAACCAUUCAUUUUAAACCCGUCCAACUGUUUGAGCAUACAAAUAACUCUAUAAUAAAAGGUAUUUUAGAAGAAAAA